UACGGGGGGGGCAAGCGUUGUUCGGAAUUAUUGGGCGUAAAGGGCGCGUAGGCGGCCUUCUAAGUCAGACGUGAAAUCCCUCGGCUCAACCGAGGAACUGCGUCUGAUACUGGCAGGCUUGAAUCCGGGAGAGGGAUGUGGAAUUCCGAGUGUAGAGGUGAAAUUCGUAGAUAUUCGGAAGAACACCAGUGGCGAAGGCGGCUCACUGGACCGGUAUUGACGCUGAGGUGCGAAAGCGUGGGGAGCAAACAGG
rnacentral:rRNA from 1 species